UCGGAGUGAUCUAUAAUUCGGGGGCAUAAAAGCUAACCUUUAAUAUUAUUCUUUUUUAUCUCAAAGACUUGGUGUUUUUGUGCAUAUAUUCUUUGAUUUUGUAUUUUCUUCUCCUGAUCAUUAUGCAAUAUCUUGCUUUACUAUGUGUUGAUGUCGAAAAUUUUGCUUGGGUAUUUCUGGAAAUCAAUCUUACUUUUCCAGUUGGUGAAGGACUAUGAGUGUGACAUUCUUUACCAUACGAGGAAAGCCAAGAUGGGCAACCCGAAUGUACUACUCUAGUUGCUGCCCCUAUUUCAAGGUUAGUAAGUGCCUCGCAAGUGGCUUCUAGCACUUGUGCUUUCGCGGGGAUGCCCCAAGUUUGGUUCUAGUGCAUUCGCCAGUAUCCAAAUCUCCAACCAUGGGAUCUUCCCAAGCUUUAGACCAUCCUAUGGUGGCGGUUCCCAUGACCGUUGUCAUAGUUUCUGUCGUUUCUUCAUCAUCUUCCCCUGCAGCAUGUUCUGCUAGAAUCUUCACUACUGUAAUUCUGAGAGGUGCCCCAGUUUCGCAACAUGCCUCCUCUGAUGGCCUUGGCACGAUAAAAAUCGACUUCUUAAAAAAAUAAAUGUUUCCUAGAAAAUUUAUUUGCUAGUGUUGAGGAUUCUCCGGAGGAAGGAGAGACUGAUAGUUUCCCUAGGAGUGAUUCCCCAGAAAAGAUUUCUGCUAUUGAUACUUCCUCCAUCCUGUCACCACCGCAACUCCCUCCAUCCUCAGGUUUUGACUCACUUCAAUUGUGGUGAGCAUCCCAAUUUUCUUACCUAUCGAGUUGGGUUGGGACGAAGAAGGUAAUGCUGAAGUUGCCAUGGUUGUGAGUGGGUCUGGACCGCAAAAAACUCAGAUGGAUGUCGUUGCCCCAGUUGUGCCCAGUGAUUCUAAUGUGCAUUCCUCGCCAGGGGUCACAGCUAUGCAAAACAUAGUUAUGUCCCUUCCUAGUCUACCCUUGGUAGAAGCUAUCAUGGUUGUAGCAUAAUUGUCUGCCACAUUAUCAGAGGCUAACUUAGCAGUUAUGUCUGAUGCCCCUCCUGCCUCUAUUCUUGAUUGAUGAGUAGAGAUAGCAGCUACCAGCAGGAGAGAUGGUGUGGUGGCAUGAGAUCUUAAGGAAGAGGAUGUUCUUUGGGUAGUUGUGGUAUGCUUCCCGAAUGAACCGAUUGCGCAGGUGGACGACAUCCGUAAAGUGAAAGAGGCGAUGUGCGAGCAUCUAAUAUUGGUUUGCCUUUAUUCGGGCGUGCUCGAACAUCAGGAUUUAGUAAUUAGACGACCAAAAGAAGAGAACUAUAGAGUUGGAGGCUCAGUUGAUGGAAGCUCUUCAAGCUUUGGAACAAGAGAAAGAGCAGAGGAUAAAAAAAUGAAAACUUUGUUGAAGAGAUGACGAGGAGGUAGAUAGCCAUUCGACGAAGUUGGUUAAUAUGGAAAUGGAGAAGAAGAAGAAGAAGGUUGUGGAGGACAAGAUGGUUUUCCAAAAGAAAUUGGAGUCGGCCAAAGAGUUAGUGAGAGUUGUGAGAGUGAAAGCUAAUUAGGUGGAUAAGCUCCGUAUUGCUGCAAUCGCGGAGAGAGAUGCAGUGAAACUAACUCUUGGGAUCUGCAGGAGAGAAGUUGAAAGGGGCAGAAGGAUAGGUUAAUGACCUUCUAUAGGAUAUUGAACAAGUCCAUGUUGAGAAGACUCGGGAGCGUAUACCUGGCCAAGAGAUUGCAGAGAAAGUGAAUAUCUAGAUCGAUGAAGUGGAACUGGCCGAGUAUAUGGAUGAAUUUUGAAUGACGAGAAGCGAUUGCUUUCACAAAAAAGAGAUAUGGUUGUGCAACACUAUGAGUCAUUAAACAUUACUCUUGGCGACUACGGUGUGGACCAUUAUUUGCGAGACUUGGGUGAUAUUUCCAUUAGGUAUCCAGCAGAACACCUAGAUGUGUCGCGAGUAAAUGUCAAAAGGUUGGGGUUCUUAUACCAAGUCGAUGGGUCUCUAGCAGAUGAGUUUAUACCUCAUGUUGAAGUAAUGGACCUGACAGAUCCAAAAGGAAAGCGAGUGGUGCAGACUAUAGUGAACGUAGCAGCGGAAGAAAUAAUGGCGGGUGAUGAAGGUCCCACGAGUCAACCGAAGAGAACUCCAAUAGCUGGUGCCAGAGGUGGAAGCUCAUCAUCCGCAACAAAUAGGAGAACGAAAGGUAGUGUUCAUCAGUCUUGAAACUCAUAAUCUAUGUUAAAUAAUAUUUUUUUUCUUUUAUUUUUCUUGAUGUUGUUGGAUUUUUAAAUUCCAAGUUAUCUUUGUACAUACAAUAUUAAUUGUGGUAUAAUUUUGCUGGACUUUAAGUCACUAAAAAGUGUAGUUUAUGUUGAAAUGUAUUCUAUUGUCAUUUCUUUUCAAUGUUAAGGUAUACUACACAUGGUCGUCAGAGGCCAUUCGGGCCAUAUGCACAUAGAUACUCUAGGCAACUGUAUAGGUGGUGGGAGUGUCUGUCCAGUUAAGCAUUUAUAAUAUUUUUGGAUUGAGUUUUGUAGUAGAACGCGUACUCUACAAACUUAGAGGAUCUUACAAUAAGACUUGUGUUGUUUGCAAUCGGUGAGAGAUAUACACGAUGGUACAAGAUCCCAUUCUUGUUGAGGAUUUUUUACGAGACGAGUUGGAUGGAGUCUUCAAUAGCGGUGCAGAAGCUAAUUGAAGAAACUGUUGCAUUCCAUAUUUCAUGUGAGAUAUAUGGAAUAGGUCAUGCUAACUUGGCAUCUGCAAUGAAUGAAUAUAUCGGAAGAAUAGACGAUUUUAAUUUUUAAUGUACCCCGAGAAAUGUUAGGAGAGCCUAUUUUGCAUGUAAAUAGUACGAAUUUGUGGAUUCAUAAAUUAUGUAAAAGAAAAUCUUUAUUAAUGUCAUAAAGUUUACAUUAA